AAUGAACGCUGGCGGCGCGCCUAAUACAUGCAAGUCGAGCGAGAAGACGUAGCAAUACGUUUGUAAAGCGGCGAACGGGUGAGGAAUACAUGGGUAACCUACCCUAGAGUGGGGAAUAACUAGCCGAAAGGUUAGCUAAUACCGCGUACGCUCCUUGGACUUCGGUUCAGGGAGGAAAGCGAUGCCGAGGGUAUCGCGCUCUUGGAUGGGCUCAUGUCCUAUCAGCUUGUUGGGAGGUAACGGCUCACCAAGGCUUCGACGGUAGCUGGUCUGAGAGGACGAUCAGCCACACUGGGACUGAGAUACGGCCCAGACUCCUACGGGAGGCAGCAGUAGGGAAUUUUGCGCAAGUGGGCGAAAGCCUGACGC
rnacentral:rRNA from 1 species